rnacentral:rRNA from 1 species
CCUACGGGAGGCAGCAGUGGGGAAUAUUGGGCAAUGGAGGAAACUCUGACCCAGCGACGCCGCGUGCGGGAUGAAGGCCUUCGGGUUGUAAACCGCUUUCAGCAGGGAAGAAGCGAAAGUGACGGUACCUGCAGAAGAAGCACCGGCUAACUAUGUGCCAGCAGCCGCGGUAAUACAUAGGGUGCAAGCGUUGUCCGGAAUUAUUGGGCGUAAAGAGCUCGUAGGUGGUUCGUCACGUCGGAUGUGAAAAUCUGGGGCUUAACCCCAGACCUGCAUUCGAUACGGGCGAGCUUGAGUAUGGUAGGGGAGUCUGGAAUUCCUGGUGUAGCGGUGGAAUGCGCAGAUAUCAGGAGGAACACCAAUGGCGAAGGCAGGACUCUGGGCCAUUACUGACACUGAGGAGCGAAAGCGUGGGGAGCGAACAGGAUUAGAUACCCUGGUAGUCCACGCCGUAAACGGUGGGCACUAGUUGUGGGGACCUUCCACGGUCUCUGCGACGCNGCUACGCAUAAGUGCCCGCCGUCGGGAGGUACGAGUCGCGAAGAAUUAAACUUAACAAACUAGAAGUUAGACGGCGUGAGACGUGCCGACGGACGACCGACCGAGGGAGGUUAGG